rnacentral:rRNA from 1 species
AACGCGAAGAACCUUACCAGCUCUUGACAUGUCCAGUAUGGGGCCGAGAGAUCGACUCCUUCAGUUCGGCUGGCUGGAACACAGGUGCUGCAUGGCUGUCGUCAGCUCGUGUCGUGAGAUGUUGGGUUAAGUCCCGCAACGAGCGCAACCCUCAUCUUCAGUUGCCAUCAGGUAAAGCUGGGCACUCUGGAGAAACUGCCGGUGACAAGCCGGAGGAAGGCGGGGAUGACGUCAAGUCCUCAUGGCCUUUAUGGGCUGGGCUACACACGUGCUACAAUGGCGGUGACAGAGGGACGCGAAGGGGCAACCCUUGGCCAAUCUCAAAAAGCCGUCUCAGUUCGGAUUGUUCUCUGCAACUCGAGAGCAUGAAGCUGGAAUCGCUAGUAAUCGCGGAUCAGCACGCCGCGGUGAAUACGUUCCCGGGCCUUGUA